CGCUAGCUACAGGCUUAACACAUGCAAGUCGAGGGGCAGCAUGAAGUUUGCUUGCAAACUUUGAUGGCGACCGGCGCACGGGUGAGUAACACGUAUCCAACCUGCCGAUAACUCGGGGAUAGCCUUUCGAAAGAAAGAUUAAUACCCGAUGGCAUGGAAAGUCCGCAUGGUCUUUCCAUUAAAGAACUUCGGUUAUCGAUGGGGAUGCGUUCCAUUAGAUAGUAGGCGGGGUAACGGCCCACCUAGUCAACGAUGGAUAGGGGUUCUGAGAGGAAGGUCCCCCACAUUGGAACUGAGACACGGUCCAAACUCCUACGGGAGGCAGCAGUGAGGAAUAUUGGUCAAUGGACGAGAGUCUGAACCAGCCAAGUAGCGUGAAGGAUGACUGCCCUAUGGGUUGUAAACUUCUUUUAUACGGGAAUAAAGUGUUCCACGUGUGGAAUUUUGUAUGUACCGUAUGAAUAAGGAUCGGCUAACUCCGUGCCAGCAGCCGCGGUAAUACGGAGGAUCCGAGCGUUAUCCGGAUUUAUUGGGUUUAAAGGGAGCGUAGGUGGAAGAUUAAGUCAGCCUGUGAAAGUUUGCGGCUCAACCGUAAAAUUGCAGUUGAUACUGGUUUUCUUGAGUGCAGUAGAGGUCCGUGAAAGUCGUGGUGUAGCGGUGAAAUGAUUAGAGAUCCCUUAUAGGGCCGAUUG
rnacentral:rRNA from 1 species